rnacentral:rRNA from 1 species
UACGGGGGGGGCAAGCGUUGUUCGGAAUUACUGGGCGUAAAGGGUUCGUAGGCGGCCAACUGAGUCAGACGUGAAAUCCCUCAGCUCAACUGGGGAACUGCGUCUGAUACUGGUUGGCUUGAGUGCAGGAGAGGAAUGCGGAAUUCCAGGUGUAGCGGUGAAAUGCGUAGAGAUGUGGAGGAACACCAGUGGCGAAGGCGGCUUUUUGGUCUGUAACUGACGCUGAGGCGCGAAAGCGUGGGUAGCAAACAGG